GCCGGGAGGAAAGAGAGAAGGACGGAGAGGGAAUAGGAAUUAGAAGAGCACAAAGAUGCUAGCCUAUGAGGAUGGUGUGGACUGGACGAGACUCCCCGACAGUAUCUUGCUCCAGAUCUUCACUUUCCUGGAGUAUUCGGAUAUGCCGUUUGUUGGGCGUGUGUGCAAGUCCUGGCUGAG